GACGAACGCUGGCGGCGUGCUUAACACAUGCAAGUCGAACGGAAAGGCCAUGCUUUUGUGGGGUGCUCGAGUGGCGAACGGGUGAGUAAAACGUGAGUAACAUGUCCUUGUCUUAGGGAUAACUUCAGGAAACUGGGGAUAAUACAGGAUAGGAGAUACUGCUGCACGGUGGGGGUUGGUAAGAUUCGGCGGUUGGGGAUGGAAUCGAGGCUUAUCAGCUUGUUGGUGGGGUAGUGGCUUACCAAGGCUUUGACGGGUAGCCGGCCUGGGAGGGUGACCGGCCACAUUGGGACUGAGAGACGGCCCAGACUCCUACGGGAGGCAGCAGUGGAGAAUAUUGCACAAUGGGCGGGAGCCUGUUGCAGCGGCGCCGCGUGCGGGAUGACGGCCUUCGAGUUGUAAACCGCUUUCUCCUUUAACGAAGCGUGAUUGACGGUAAUGGAUAAGGAAGCACCGGCUAACUACGUG
rnacentral:rRNA from 1 species